AAAGUCCACUUGCCGAAGGAAACAAGGCAUGGGAGUGGUGGAAGUGGUAGUAGCCGGGAACAAUAUCAGCAGAAUGAUUCUCCACUGCAUCCAGGGGAGUUGGUUAUCCGCAAGAAGAAGAGGAAAGACAGGGACAAGUCCGUGGUGAAGUCGAGGACUGGAUCAACUGGUCCAGUUUCUCCCCCUAGCAUGGGUCGUAA
rnacentral:misc_RNA from 1 species